ACGCUCGACACCUACGGGCGGCAGCAGUAGGGAAUCUUCCACAAUGGGCGCAAGCCUGAUGGAGCAACACCGCGUGAGUGAAGAAGGGUUUCGGCUCGUAAAGCUCUGUUGUUGGAGAAGAACGUGCGUGAGAGUAACUGUUCACGCAGUGACGGUAUCCAACCAGAAAGUCACGGCUAACUACGUGCCGGCAGCCGCGGUAAUCUGAGCGGGCUGGCAAGGC
rnacentral:rRNA from 1 species